GGGGACGUGGCUGAAGUCAGUCGGGCCGCCCGCUUGCUGCACGGCAGCCGUGGGACUGGCACAGGCUCCUCGGCAGCAUUAUGGGCAGCUGGUAGAGCGGCCACUUCUGAGAGCCGGAUGGGCCUUCCGAGGUCGGGCCGUGCCCCGCUGGGCAGCGCAGAGGGGGUGUGUAGGGCACGCGACUUGGAGCCAGGUCCAGACCCAUCCUGGCUCCUCUCAGGGCUCCUUCCCCUGCCCCCAUUCCACCCCAGCCCUGCUGGCUGUCCCGCAGGACCCAGCGCCGCGGUAGCCUUCUCUGAACUGCGGCUCAGGCGGAGGUGUCACUCCUGCCUCCAGCCCAGGAGGGCAGGUCAGGUUAUGCAACGCGUGCCGCGCGAUCUCCCCCCACCUCCAACCCCCUUUUCUCCCGGGUCCACACCGCAGUUCCCACCGCUCCGGGUGUCCUCCCCAGUGCGCCGCGAUUUUUGUGUCCAAGCCCCAGAGUCCCUCUGAGACCAACCCCCAGCCAGCACAGACUUCCUGCCUUCCCAGCUCGGGGAUGUGGUCUCAUUAGGUUGCCCAAGCUGGACUUGUACUCUUGGCCUCAAGAGGUCCUUCCAUCUCAGUCUCCCAAGUAGCUGGGACUACAAGCAUGCACCACUACACUCAGCCAAAUACUUUCAAUAAUUUGCCAGCUGACAACUUGAUUGGGUUCUCCUUCAGGUUUGAAGCGCCCUCGAGAAGUGUCUAAAGGAGACAGUUGAUAGCCAAACAACAGUUUUGGAUUCACUGACUGAUUAUGAAAGAAGCAGUAGACUGGUAUCAAGAAUCAGUCAGCAAGGAGGCCCUCACCAGACGCCAGUGCCAUGUUCUUGGACUUCUCAGCCUCCAUAUUCAUGAACUAAGUUUUUGGAAUCCUUAGGCUUCCACGUGUGGAAAGCCUGAGCUAACCUACUGGAGGAUGAGCCAUCACCUGGAGCAGAUUCAGGCCAUCCUAGUUGAAGCCUCCCUAGGCCAAGCAACCGUCCAACUACCAGACAUUGACCAUUCAGCCUUGAACAUUCAGCACAAAGACAAAACAGACCAGACCAGAAGAGUCCCACAGAAUAGGGGAAACUAUUCAGAGAAAACUUAAGCCACUAAGUUUUAUGGUGUUUUGUUCUGUAGCAGAAGCAUAGGCAUACUGACAAUACAAACCGAAAUCCUUCUAACGUAGUGGACCUUUUCAGGCCAGCAUUUUUUCCUUGAAAACCUGGAGCAUGUAUCCAUCUUAUAGCAGAGAUCACUUUCACAAUGUUUGGGCUCUUGAUUUGAAUUGAUGAUGUAAUGAGCCCUCUAUCCAGAUUGUAACUAAUUACUCUGCGAAUUGACUGGAUUCCACACCCUUCUAAUAUUUUACUUUUCCUCUUUUAUCAACUCUCAUUCUUGCUGCCAUGAUCAAUGGACCAACUAUGCUUAUAACCACAAAUUUUGAUAUGCUUAAACAAAUGAACAAAUAUAUUUAAUAAUUUCUUUUUUUUUUUUGAAAUAGUAUCUUGCUCUGUCACCCAGGCUGCAGUGCAGCAGCGUGAUCUCAGCUCACUAUAACCUCCACCUCCCGGGUUCAAGUGAUUCUCCUGCCUCAGCCUCCCAAGUAGCUGGGACUACAGGCGCCCACCACCAUACCUGGCUAAUUUUUUGUAUUUUUAGUAGAGACAGGGUUUAUCCAUGUUGGCCAGGCUGGUCUCAAACUCCUGACCUCAAGUGAUCCUCCUGCCUCGGCCUCCCAAAGUGCUGGGAUUACAGGUGUGAGCCACCAUGCCCAGCCAAUAAUUUCCUGAUAUAAUAAAAAUGCCAAUACUAUACAAUUAAAUAGUAAAGUGAUAAAAAAUAGGAUAACAUGAUAACCACUAAUUAAUAUAUACUACAUAAUCAUC
rnacentral:lncRNA from 10 species